rnacentral:rRNA from 1 species
UGGCGGACGGGUGAGUAACGCGUGGGUAACCUGCCCUAUACAGGGGGAUAACAGUUAGAAAUGACUGCUAAUACCGCAUAAGCGCACUAAAACCGCAUGGUUCGGUGUGAAAAACUGAGGUGGUAUAGGAUGGACCCGCGUCUGAUUAGCUUGUUGGUGAGGUAACGGCUCACCAAGGCAACGAUCAGUAGCCGGCCUGAGAGGGCGACCGGCCACAUUGGGACUGAGACACGGCCCAAACUCCUACGGGAGGCAGCAG